UGUAAAAAGCUAAUAAUGUGAUAUUUUUUUCCUUGACUCCAGAAAAUAACUCAACAUCGUCCACGGAUGUAGCCGAUGAUGACCUUGACCGCACCAUAGAUGGACUGGAAGACAAGGAGAACAAUCCCACCAGUGCCAGUGCUGAGGAUGACGCGGACAGUGAAUCUGACCUGCCAAUGGCCCAUCGCUUGCGCGACAACAAUGGAAGAUUGAACGCAUGUUUGGCAGAACUUUCUCCGGGGACAAGGUUAAACCAGAUCAGAAACAGGAAGAGGCGUAACGCGGCACUAUAUGGCGUGGCUGACCAAAU